rnacentral:rRNA from 1 species
GAUGAACGCUGGCGGCGUGCUUAAUACAUGCAAGUCGAACGAUGAAGCCCAGCCUGCUGGGCGGAUUAGUGGCGAACGGGUGAGUAACACGUGAGUAACCUGCCCUUGACUCUGGGAUAAGCCCGGGAAACUGGGUCUAAUACCGGAUAGGAGCGCCUGUCGCAUGACGGGUGCUGGAAAGAUUUUUCGGUCAUGGAUGGACUCGCGGCCUAUCAGCUUGUUGGUGAGGUAACGGCUCACCAAGGCGACGACGGGUAGCCGGCCUGAGAGGGUGACCGGCCACACUGGGACUGAGACACGGCCCAGACUCCUACGGGAGGCAGCAGUGGGGAAUAUUGCACAAUGGGCGGAAGCCUGAUGCAGCGACGCCGCGUGAGGGAUGACGGCCUUCGGGUUGUAAACCUCUUUCAGUAGGGAAGAAAGCGAAAAGUGACGGUACCUGCA